UACGUAGGGGGCGAGCGUUGUCCGGAUUUAUUGGGCGUAAAGAGCUCGUAGGCCGUUCGGUAAGUCAGAUGUGAAAACUCCAGGCUCAACUUGGAGAGGCCAUCUGAUACUGCUGUGACUAGAGUCCGGUAGGGGAGCACGGAAUUCCUGGUGUAGCGGUGAAAUGCGCAGAUAUCAGGAGGAACACCGGUGGCGAAGGCGGGUCUCUGGGCCGAUACUGACGCUGAGGAGCGAAAGCGUGGGGAGCGAACAGG
rnacentral:rRNA from 1 species